UACGUAGGGUGCAAGCGUUGUCCGGAAUUAUUGGGCGUAAAGAGCUCGUAGGCGGUCUGUCGCGUCGGAUGUGAAAAUCCAGGGCUUAACCCUGGACCUGCAUUCGAUACGGGCAGACUAGAGUUCGGUAGGGGAGACUGGAAUUCCUGGUGUAGCGGUGAAAUGCGCAGAUAUCAGGAGGAACACCGGUGGCGAAGGCGGGACUCUGGGCCGAUACUGACGCUGAGGAGCGAAAGCGUGGGGAGCAAACAGG
rnacentral:rRNA from 1 species